GGAUCCAAUCCUCACUCUGACCUGUAAAAGCAAGUGAACCCAAGACUUGUAAUAAAAAUAUUAACCAUAGCUGAUGCUGCUUUUUAGUACCAUAGCACCAGAUUACAGGAUAAUAAAUGCAAAUCAGAGCAACCUCAACAAUUUGCCAUGCAAAUCACAUAUUAGAUUUCCCAAAUUCUUGCCUAUGAUAUUCUUGAUGAUGUUGUGGAUAGAAUUUUAAAGAACUUUGAACCAAUCAGCCAUGACCAACCAUCUCAGUUUUGUAUAAUUCAACUGCACCAAUCUGCAGUGCCUCUACUUGUUUGCAUCUAAUAGCUAUGUGAUACAGGUGAUUAUGUAGGUGCAUAUAUCACUACUGCAAAAUCAGUCAAUUUUGAUUUCUUCUUUUGUUUUGUUCAUUCAAGGCUCUUUGGACUCCUGUUUGGACGCUUUCACCAACCAGCUCUGGAGCCCAACAUAGGCCUUCUUUUUAGGCGAACUAAACUAGCCGGAGAGACUGUCAUUUGAAAUAUUGCAAGUUGAAGACAAAUAUUUACUGAAUUUACAAACCUGAGCAUCAUCUUGAAUCCUU
rnacentral:misc_RNA from 1 species